UACGUAGGGGGCAAGCGUUGUCCGGAAUUAUUGGGCGUAAAGAGCGUGUAGGCGGUCCGGUAAGUCAGCUGUGAAAGUCAAGGGCUCAACCCUUGAAUGCCGGUUGAUACUGUCGGGCUAGAGUCCGGAAGAGGCGAGUGGAAUCCCGGUGUAGCGGUGAAAUGCGCAGAUAUCGGGAGGAACACCUAUGGCGAAGGCAGCUCGCUGGGACGUUACUGACGCUGAGACGCGAAAGCGUGGGGAGCAACAGG
rnacentral:rRNA from 1 species